AGCUCUAAUAGCGUAUAUUAAAGUUCUUGCAGUUAAAAAGCUCGUAGUUGAACUUCUGACUGGGCGGGAGGGUCCGCUCUUACAAGUGUGCACCAUACAUACAUGGCCAUCUUUUGGGAGAGCCGCACUGUCACUAAGUUUUCAGUGUGGGGAUCCUAAUCCUUUACUGUGAAGAAAUCAGAGUGUUCAAAGCAGGCUUACACCGUUGAAUAUAUUAGCAUGGAAUAAUAACAUAGGACUAUUGUACUAUUUUUGUUGGUUUUUGCACAAUAGUAAUGAUUAACAGGAACAGUUGGGGGUAUUUGUAUUCCAUUGUCAGAGGUGAACUUCUUGGAUUUUUGGAAGACAAACUACUGCAAAAGUAUUUACCAAAGAUGUUUUCA
rnacentral:rRNA from 1 species